UACGGGGGGGGCAAGCGUUGUUCGGAGUUACUGGGCGUAAAGGGCUCGUAGGUGGCCAACUAAGUCAGACGUGAAAUCCCCAGGCUCAACUUGGGAACUGCGUCUGAUACUGGAUGGCUUGAAUUCGGGAGAGGGAUGCAGAAUUCCAGGUGUAGCGGUGAAAUGCGUAGAUAUCUGGAGGAAUACCGGUGGCGAAGGCGGCAUCCUGGACCGAUAUUGACACUGAUGAGCGAAAGCCAGGGGAGCAAACGGG
rnacentral:rRNA from 1 species